UUAAAUUGAAGAGUUUGAUCAUGGCUCAGAUUGAACGCUGGCGGCAGGCCUAACACAUGCAAGUCGAACGGUAACAGGAAGCAGCUUGCUGCUUCGCUGACAAGUGGCGGACGGGUGAGUAAUGUCUGGGAAACUGCCUGAUGGAGGGG
rnacentral:rRNA from 1 species